rnacentral:rRNA from 1 species
GGGGAAUAUUGGACAAUGGGCGAAAGCCUGAUCCAGCCAUGCCGCGUGUGUGAAGAAGGUCUUCGGAUUGUAUAGCACUUUAAGUUGGGAGGAAGGGCAGUAAGCGAAUACCUUGCUGUUUCGACGUUACCGACAGAAUAAGCACCGGCUAACUCUGUGCCAGCGGCCGCGGUAAUACGUAGGGUGCAAGCGUUGUCCGGAAUUAUUGGGCGUAAAGAGCUCGUAGGCGGCUUGUCGCGUCUGCCGUGAAAGCCCGAGGCUCAACCUCGGGUCUGCGGUGGGUACGGGCAGGCUAGAGUGCGGUAGGGGAGAUUGGAAUUCCUGGUGUAGCGGUGGAAUGCGCAGAUAUCAGGAGGAACACCGAUGGCGAAGGCAGAUCUCUGGGCCGCUACUGACGCUGAGGAGCGAAAGCAUGGGGAGCGAACAGGA